ACUAAAAAAAAAAAAUAAACAGGUCAACAAGGUCAAAACUAGACAAAAAUAGAUUGAUUUCAAAAAUUUACCACAUAUAUUUGAGAUUGUAGAAUAAACUAUACCUUACCUACUCCUAUUACCACAGCACAUGAUCACAACAGAAUCAACUUGAGAAAAUAGAGAGAGAUCGCUACCAGCAAAAUUAGUAACAUUAGCACAAGUAAUCUCAGAAGUAGUUUUUCUCUUCAAAAACGCAGCAUUUUCUUGUUGAAUAGUGUUCAACAAAUCAGCAAGACUGUCAUUGUAUUGAAGUAUUCCCACUUCCAAUGGAGUGUUCGCUAAAACUUGAGCUGCCAUCCUUAGUUGGUUCUUGGUCCUUUCCUUAAACUCUUUAUGCCAAUCAGGGUAACCAUGGAGUUUGCAACAAGUAUCUUUCACAUGCCAUACGCAUUACAGUAUUCACAAUGUCUGUCCCCUUUCUUCAUAUUGUCUUUCCUCCUGUUGUAGCUAGAGUUCCCCUAGAAACUAUUAUAACCAAUUGCUUCUUUGUUUCUAUUGAACUGUGGCUUGGCCAUCAUAGCAGCAUUAUCAAGGAGAUCAGAAACACAGAGCAUCUCUCUCAAUUUUUCCACAAUCUGACUCUUAGCUUGAUCAUAGCUAUCAUUGAGCUCCAUGAGAAACUGUAAAAAUCUAUCUGAAUAAGUUAUCUCACAUAUAGCUUCCGCAGCUUCACAAGAACACAAAGGCAAAGGCAUCAAACUUGUUAAUUCCUCCCACAGCUUCUUAAGUUUUUUCCAAUACAAAGAUUUCGGCAUGUUACCCUAAGUAGCAGCAUUUAUUUCCCUCUGAAUAUGAUUAAAAAAAAAAAGGUCCAUUACUCUCCCAAAAUCUUUCUUCUAGUUCAUUCCACAAUUCCCUAGCAGUAGUUACAAAGGAUCAACCAGUUCUUUUGAGAUCGAAUUAAGUUUCCAAUAGCAAGAUGUCACCAAAAAAAAUCUACUUUUUGGGAUUUCUCAAACUCAGCAGAAUCUCUCUGUAUGUAUAUUCAGUAAUAUAUCAGUUCAGUACAGAAGAAGCCCUAUAUGCAAGCUACUAAGAAUAACUGCCACUGGUUAGCUAAGUCCAGCCAAAUAACAGGCUCGUUAACAACUUGAUCUAACUGACUUGAGCAAAUCCUAAGCUAACACAGCUGUCACAGUAACUAAGCUAAAAAUCUAUAAAUAAAUUAACUAUAUUUACACUGUUCUGCUGUGCAAAUCCAAAAUCGUUUAGAGUGGA
rnacentral:misc_RNA from 1 species